UUUGCCUUUCAUGUUCUUCUUAAACUUAUUUUUUUGGGCCUUUGACUCAUCUCUUUUCCUUUCUUAAUAUUUUUCUUGAAUUUCUUAUACCUUAGUAUGAAACUCACUAAAAAAUGGAUUCAGCCACAUAAGGUUAUCUACUAGAUUUGGUAGCCUAGAGAUGCUCAUCUUCUAGCUUAAUGUGGCAUGCCACAUCAACAAAGGUCUUGAUGAUUGUGAGUCAAGUUGACCUUUAUAUUCCCAGUUAUCAAG
rnacentral:lncRNA from 1 species